GAUCCAAUUUAACAUAUCGGAUUCUGGGCGUAAGCGCGCGUAGGCGGUUUGUUAAGUCAGAUGUGAAAUCCCCGGGCUCAACCUGGGAAUGGCAUUUGAGACUGGCAGGCUAGAGUGUGGUAGAGGUGAGUGGAAUUUCAGGUGUAGCGGUGAAAUGCGUAGAGAUCUGAAGGAACAUCAGUGGCGAAGGCGACUCACUGGGCCAUUACUGACGCUGAGGUGCGAAAGCGUGGGUAGCAAACAGGAUUAGAUACCCUGGUAGUCCACGCCCUAAACGAUGUCAACUAGGUGUAUGGAGAAUUUAUUCUUUGUGUAUCGAAGCUAACGCGAUAAGUUGACCGCCUGGGGAGUACGGUCGCAAGACUAAAACUCAAAUGAAUUGACGGGGGCCCGCACAAGCGGUGGAGCAUGUGGUUUAAUUCGAUGCAACGCGAAGAACCUUACCUGGCCUUGACAUGUACGGAAGAUUGAAGAGAUUCGAUUGUGCCUUCGGGAACCGUAACACAGGUGCUGCAUGGCUGUCGUCAGCUCGUGUCGUGAGAUGUUG
rnacentral:rRNA from 1 species